rnacentral:tRNA from 1 species
UAUGUUUUAGUAUAUUUGUAUAUAAAAUUUUGAUUUUUAAGGUGUUAAUUAAAUUUAACAAAUAUAG